UACGAAGGGGGCUAGCGUUGCUCGGAAUCACUGGGCGUAAAGCGCACGUAGGCGGCUUUCUAAGUCGGUGGUGAAAUCCUGGAGCUCAACUCCAGAACUGCCUCCGAUACUGGAAGGCUCGAGUCCGGGAGAGGUGAGUGGAACUGCGAGUGUAGAGGUGAAAUUCGUAGAUAUUCGCAAGAACACCAGUGGCGAAGGCGGCUCACUGGCCCGGUACUGACGCUGAGGCGCGAAAGCGUGGGGAGCAAACAGG
rnacentral:rRNA from 1 species